rnacentral:rRNA from 1 species
GACGAACGCUGGCGGCGUGCUUAACACAUGCAAGUCGAGCGGUAAGGCCCUUUCGGGGGUACACGAGCGGCGAACGGGUGAGUAACACGUGGGUGACCUGCCCUCAGCUCUGGGAUAAGCCCGGGAAACCGGGUCUAAUACUGGAUAUGACUCCAUGACGCAUGUUGUGGGGUGGAAAGCCUUGUGCGGCUGAGGAUGGGCCCGCGGCCUAUCAGCUUGUUGGUGGGGUGAUGGCCUACCAAGGCGACGACGGGUAGCCGGCCUGAGAGGGCGACCGGCCACACUGGGACUGAGACACGGCCCAGACUCCUACGGGAGGCAGCAGUGGGGAAUCUUGCGCAAUGGGCGAAAGCCUGACGCAGCGACGCCGCGUGAGGGAUGACGGCCU